UACAGAGGUGGCAAGCGUUGUUCGGAAUCACUGGGCGUAAAGGGCGUGUAGGCGGGAAGGACAGUCAGAUGUGAAAUCCCUGGGCUCAACCCAGGAACUGCAUUUGAAACUCCCUUUCUUGAGUGUCGGAGAGGAAAGUGGAAUUCCUGGUGUAGAGGUGAAAUUCGUAGAUAUUAGGAAGAACACCAGUGGCGAAGGCGGCUCACUGGCCCGGUACUGACGCUGAGGCGCGAAAGCGUGGGGAGCAAACAGG
rnacentral:rRNA from 1 species